rnacentral:misc_RNA from 1 species
GAUGAAGAACGUAGCAAAAUGCGAUACUCGGUGUGAAUUGCAGAAUCCCGUGAACCAUCGAGUUUUUGAACGCAAGUUGCGCCCGAAGCCUUUUGGCCGAGGGCACGUCUGCCUGGGCGUCACGCAUCGCGUCGCCCCCCACAAUUCUCCGUAAAGGGAACGUGUGUUUUGGGGGCGGAUAUUGGUCUCCCGUGCUCAUGGCGUGGUUGGCCGAAAUAGGAGUCCUUUCGAUGGACGCACGAACUAGUGGUGGUCGUAAAAACCCUCGUCUUUUGUUUCGUGCUGUUGCUCGCAAGGUAAACUCUUUAAAAACCCCAAUGUGUCGUCUCUUGACGACGCUUCGACCGCGACCCCAGGUCAGGCGGGACUACCCGCUGAGUUUAAGCAUAUCAAUAAGCGGAGGA